CUACGGGUGGCUCCAGUGAGGAAUAUUGGACAAUGGAGGCAACUCUGAUCCAGCCAUGCCGCGUGCAGGAAGACGGCCCUACGGGUUGUAAACUGCUUUUAUACAGGAAGAAACGCCGCUACGUGUAGCGGUUUGACGGUACUGUACGAAUAAGGAUCGGCUAACUCCGUGCCAGCAGCCGCGGUAAUACGGAGGAUCCAAGCGUUAUCCGGAAUCAUUGGGUUUAAAGGGUCCGUAGGCGGUUUUUUAAGUCAGAGGUGAAAUCCUGCAGCUCAACUGUAGCAUUGCCUUUGAUACUGAAAGACUUGAGUUAUUGUGAAGUAGUUAGAAUGUGUAGUGUAGCGGUGAAAUGCAUAGAUAUUACACAGAAUACCGAUUGCGAAGGCAGAUUACUAACAAUAUACUGACGCUGAGGGACGAAAGCGUGGGUAGCGAACAGGAUUAGAUACCCCGGUAGUC
rnacentral:rRNA from 1 species